rnacentral:lncRNA from 1 species
UAUCAGAUUAAGACAAUGAUCUUGAGAAAGUCAUUGAUCCACUUACUCCUUUUUCUUUUUCUUUUUUUUUUUUUUUUUUACAAGAGAGGAUAAUAUUAGUACCCACAUUUAAGGCCGUUGAGAGGAUUAACUGAUAUAUGUUAGGAAAAAUGGAUCAUUUAGUUGCAUUAUUAUCUCUACGAUUAUCAACAACUCUUUCUGUCAAUGUCAUUCAACUGAGACUUAUUGAGUGUCCACUGAGUUUCUGUAAAUGUUUCCUUCAUCUGUAAAUCAAAAUAGCUCCAAGGACUUUGGUCAUGGGACAGUGAAUUCUGGGGGAGGAGAGGAGAGAGAAGUGGGGAAGGCAGGCAUGAAACAAUACAAUCUCAGGGUGUGUGUAUAAGGUAAAGAGAACAAGGCUUGCCAUCAGGGGACAUGAAUUGAACCGUAAUUUCAGAAUCAAUCAGUGACCUUGGGCAUGUCAUUUAACCACAUUUGAAUUUUAGUUUUCCAAUGAAAGAAACAUGUACCUAAAACCUCUGUGAGAAAACAGCCCUCUGGACUUGGUGGGUAACACUUAGAUAGUUGCUGCCUCAACUGCAGACCUGCAUGAAGCCGGCAUUGCUUCCAGUCUGUGGCAGACAAAGCCUCCUCUGAAGACCUGAGGUUUUUCCUGGGGUCCUUCCAGCCUUGCAUAUUAAGGGAGAACUAAGGAGGGCUAAGCUGUGUAGGAGAGGCUACCUGGGUAGGGAUGGUGAUUUAGCGCCCACUCCCUGGAGAAAGCCCAGAGGAAGCUAAGAAGGAAAGCCAGCAAGUGCCUGCAGAGGUGGCCCAACCCUUUGGGACAAGAAGGGAGAAAUAAAUCUCUUCUUGGGACCCUCUGGGAAUAAAACAGGUGGGCAGGAGGUCUCUGUUCUCUUGAAGCCAGCCUGGUUUUUACUCUUCUUCUACUCUUAUUUUCUGGGUCCUCCCUUAAGAUUUCCAGAUUUUGAGAAAUUCCAGCUGCCACAUCUGAGCUAAAGGGAGAUAAGACAAAGGGUUUGUGCCCAGUUGGACUGGGGCAUUGAAAGCGCAGCCACAGGCUGGGUGCGGUGGGGCAUGCCUGUAAUCCCAGCACAUUGGGAGGCCAAAGCGAGAGGAUUGCUUGAGCCCAGGAGUUUGAGAUCAGCCUGAGCAGCAUAGUAAGAUCCUGUCUCUACUCAAAAAAAAAAAAAAAAAGAAGCCAGGCACGGUAGCACACACCUGUAGUCCCAGCUACUCAGGAGGCUGCCAUGGGAACAUCAUUUGAGGCCCAGAGUUCCAAGCUGCAAUGAGCCAUGAUCGUGUCACUGCACUCCAGCCUGAGCAACAGAGCAAGACCCUGUCCCAGAAAAAGAGGAAAAAAAAGAAUAAAAUAGCAACCUCAGCUACUGGGCCUAAGAAGGUAGUGGGAGCCAAGGGGUGGCAGUGGGGUGGGUAGUGGCAAGCCCCAAGAAUGACUAGCAUUGACACACAAGGGCCAUUUGGUCCCAGUUGUUUUUCCCACAUCAAGAAAGCCCUUCCAGAGCUAAAUCUACUUGGAGUUUUAUUUUAUUACCAGCAGCAAAAUUCUCUGACACUAUCUCCAAGUCUCAUACCCCAGACACCUCAGUACCUGAAACCCCAGUGGACUAACAACCCCUGCCAAACACUCAGCUAGGAGCAAACAUUCUGGACUCUUUCCAGCAGUGGCAAGGGGUUCCAUGGAGCCAACCACACUCUCCCCCAGGUGAGAAAUACUCUUCCAGGCCAUUGACUGCAUCCUCACUGCACAUACUGGAUGGCUAAAAAGGGUAUGCAGUCUAUGGCCUGGAAAGAACUUCUUCAGUUUGUAUGCUCAAACAUUGACCUCAUCAGUUCAGACUCUGCUCCAAUCCACAGAGCUGGCACACCCACAUGACUCCCCUUUGUGAUGUAAAUAGCUGGAUAAUCCAGAAGGGACACCAAGCCUGGGACUCUGUUCUAGAAAUUAAUCUGCUGUCAGAGGUCAAGUGCCUUCCACUGCAUGUCAAAAGGCCACUUAAAAAAUCAGUCUAGCCCCCUUUAUCAUCUGUGUUUGUUAUCAGUGUGCUACACCAAGCAUGGUAAAUGGGAGCUCCCAGUUCCAGGGAGCCUGCUUGCAACCCUUUAAACUCAAAUAAUAAUAUAACAGCAGCUAAUCGUUUUGUUUUGUUUUGUUUUGUUUUUUUCAGAAUGUAAUGCAUGCCAAGCAUAGAUUAUCUCAGAAAA